GAUAAAAGUUAAAAGUUUAGGGUUAGAAGCUAUCGUCUUCAUUCUGUUAUUCUUCUUGUCUGAGCUUAGGGUUAGCAUCGCCAUUUAUUUCUCCCUUGUUCGUGGCUAAAAAGCUAUCGUCUUCAUUCUCUUCUUCUUAUUUUUUGAGCGUAGGGUUAGCAUCACCAUGUCAUUCUCCCUUGUUCGCAGCUAAAAUUGACAGUAGAAUUCAAGGGUAAAUUGGCAGCCGAAUUCAAGCUAUCGUCUUGCAAUUGUUCUGGGAUUAAGAGUUGAAAGGCGUGGGUUUUCGGUCAUUGUGUUGAUGAAUAAUGUCUCAAAUUGUAGCUCCAAUUGUCUAGCCGCUCAAAUGGAGAAAAUUGAAACACAAAAGGGAGCAAAUGAACAGCCCGUUGAUGCAUUUUCAGCCAUCAUGGGUGCCGAACAUCCGAGAUGUGUAAGACUGCUUGGAGGAGGGUUACAAAGACUUCUUUGAAAAUCUUAAAUUGCAGCUCCGGACAAACUUUAAAUGCCACAAAUGAUGUUAUGCAAAAAAUGGAGUAUCAAAUCGAGGAGCAAAAGAGAACAAUUCGACAAGAAGUUGUUGUAGAUGUAAUUGCUCAACUUUAAAAUGCAGCAAUAAUUGAUCCGAAGAUGCUGGUGGCAUUGUCCAUUCCUUCACCAACAAAAUCUACUUUUACCCUAGCAGCCUGUCAAAACAAUCAAGAUGAUCAUGACAUACAAGAUGGUGGGAAUGAAAUUGAUGAACUAGACUUUAUCUAAGAGAUCGAUCACAUUGGCUUCAUGCCACACUAGCUGUUGGAAAAACUUGUGUAUGUUUUGAUUGAGAUCGAUCAUAUUUGACUGACUAUAUAUACGUAGUUUCAAUCAUCUUUUAUUUUUGAACAUUCAAAACUUAUGUGUUUUGAUUUUUUUGAAUGGUCAAAAAAUUAUUUGGUCUCUUAUUGGUUGAUAUUUUAUUGGGAAUUUAUAGUUACUAGUA